rnacentral:rRNA from 1 species
AAGCGUUUAUGACCAGACUUGGGCUUGGUUAAUCAUCUGGGGUUCUCCCCAGUGCACUUUUCCAGUCCAGGCCAGCAUCAGUUUUCCCCGGGGGAUAAAGGCGGCGGGAAUGUGGCUCUCUUCGGGGAGUGUUAUAGCCCGUUGCAUAAUACCC